GAGCAGGACGCUAGUCCCCGGGGGGCUCUGCUCCUGCACGCUGAUGGCCAACACCGAGCUGUAGCCGCAGAUGUCCGGCACGGCUGAGCACCCCUGCACGCUGCCCAGUGGGAUGAGAUCCUGCCCCCAGACCCGUCCCUGAGCCUCCAGCACCUUCAGGCGUGCCAGGCAGUCAUCGGUGCUGCGGAUGUCCCUCUCCAGGCGCACCGUGAGCAGCUGUUGGACCGUCGGAGCAGGGAGCUGUUGUCAUAUUCACUCCUGGAUGGACGGACGGAAGGAAGGAAGGACAGACCUUUGCACCCUGCAGCAUGAUCCUCUCUCCCCACCCAGCCCUCGGGGGUCCCCAAGGUUUUUGGGGCCAAACUGGCCCCACCACAGAGGGACCCCAGCACCCCGCACCCCAGAGCAUCACACGGAGCAGGCAGUGACACCCUUUGGGAGUAUUCAGGGACCGUCGGUGGACAGGUACGAGCAGAA